GCAGAAGACUUGUCUCUUGGCGAGGGACGGGCGCCGCUGACCCAGCACGUCCAGGACCAGUCCGUCGGCGGCCCCCACGCGGGUCCUGGGCUCCAGCUCUUCGCCGGGGGGCGCCUCCUGCUGUUCAUCCCCUCCCUCUUUUCGAUCCCCAGCUUCCUCCUCUUCCUCCUCCAGCUCCAACUGCAGUGGCAAGGUCUGGGGAUUGAGAGGCCCGGCAUGACUAAGAGAUAUCGUGAAAUUACAACUCAACAAUGAAUUACAGCACAGGCUUUUCACAACUAAGAGACUGUCCAUCAUGGUGCCAGUUUUUCUCAAAAUGGCAUGUGUGCAUGAAAUUCUACAGGCAUAUGGGGUCGUGAUCUGCUAAUCUCCAGUUAUUAUAACUACUUUGAAAAGGGACUUUCCAGCUAUCAGUACACUAUCUCACAAUUACCCUUGAACCAGAAGACAAUGAAUGAUUUGCUAAACAGAUGGCAUAGUCUAUGACAUGCAUCAUAUGUGUGAGCAAUCACAGAAGACUCCUUCCUGUUGCCUUGUGAAGAAGGCUCCUGCUUCCCCUUCACCUUCUGCGCGAUUGUAAGUUUCCUGAGGCCUCCUAGCCAUGCUUCUUGUUCACUCUGCGGAACUGUCCUGAGCUGAAAAGAAUAUGAGAAAUCGGAUUUUACGACAUACCAAAUUAUGAUUGUAUGUCCCAGAAAUUCACUUAGAAGCUAAUAGAAAAAAUGAAACCAAAGCCUUUUGAGAGUUGAAAAUUUAUCAUGACAUAUGCUGGCUGCACAGUCAAAACUUAUCACUGCCCACGACUUCGGAAGCAUGACAGGAGAGCUGUGGGAGCCACUUCCUCGUCAGACGUGGUUUGAUAUGUCAAGUGAGAACCUGAGUAAAGCAAAGAGGUGAACUAUGACUUGGAAUCCUCCAGGCUUUGGCUUCCAUCACACUCCAUGAACUUGAUGCACAUAAUUUAAUG
rnacentral:lncRNA from 1 species